rnacentral:rRNA from 1 species
AUACGUAGGUGACAAGCGUUAUCCGGAUUUAUUGGGUUUAAAGGGAGCGUAGGUGGGAUAUUAAGUCAGCUGUGAAAGUUUGGGGCUCAACCUUAAAAUUGCAGUUGAUACUGGUUUCCUUGAGUACGGUAUAGGUGGGCGGAAUUCGUGGUGUAGAGGUGAAAUGCUUAGAUAUCACGAAGAACUCCGAUCGCGAAGGCAGCUCACCGGGCCGGAACUGACACUGAUGCUCGAAAGUGCGGGGAUCGAACAGGAUUAGAUACCCUGGUAGUCCGCACAGUAAACGAUGAAUACUUGUUUUCGGCGAUAUAAUGUCGGAGGCAAAGCGAAAGCGAUAAGUAUUCCACCUGGGGAGUACGCCGGCAACGGUGAAACUCAAAUGAAUUGGCGGGG